UACGAAGGGGGCUAGCGUUGCUCGGAAUCACUGGGCGUAAAGGGCGCGUAGGCGGACUUUUAAGUCGGGGUGAAAGCCCAGGGCUCAACCCUGGAAUUGCCUUCGAUACUGGGAGUCUUGAGUUCGGAGGAGGUUGGUGGAACUGCGAGUGUAGAGGUGAAUUCGUAGAUAUUCGCAAGAACACCAGUGGCGAAGGCGGCCAACUGGUCCGAAACUGACGCUGAGGCGCGAAAGCGUGGGAGCAAACAGG
rnacentral:rRNA from 1 species